AACGAACGCUGGCGGCAUGCCUAGCACAUGCAAGUCGAACGAAACCUUCGUGUCUAUUUGCGCACGUCUGCUUAACGCCGGGUAACCUGCCCUUAAGUUCGGAAUAACUCCCCUAAAGAUGUCCUAAUACCGGUUAAUCUCUUCCCACCUAAGAUUUAUCGCUUUUGGAUGGGGCCUCGUUGGAUUAGCUGGUUGGUAGGGUAAAAGCGUACCAACGCGAUGAUGCAUAGCUGGUCUGAGAGCAUGAUCAUCCAGAAUGGGAAUGAGACCCGGCCCAGACUCGGAGGCGAGGCAGCAGUGGGGAGUACUAGGCGAUGGGCGAUAGUGCGAUCAAGCAGUGCCGCGUGAGUGAUGAAGGGCUUAGGAUUGUACAGCUGUUUUACACGGGAUGAUAAUGACAGUACCGGGUAAAGAAGCUCCGGCUAACUACGUG
rnacentral:rRNA from 1 species